rnacentral:rRNA from 1 species
UAAGCGUGAAGUGAAGCACAUAAACCUGCUGAAUUUAAGCAUAUAAGUAAGUGGUGGAAAUUAAACCAAUAGCAGCCCGACACCGCACACCGCUGACGCGCCUGACGGCUGUCUGCUCCGCAUCGCUACGGACAGCUGUGACGUCUCGAGCUGCAUGUGUCAGAGCUUCACGGUCAUCACGGACGCGCGGACGAGGACUCGGAUACGCCUAUUUUUAGUAAGUCCAUGAUAUAUGGUCCUAGACUCAGUGCCUCCGAACGCGACCAUGGAUUCAUAUCUAAUAGUA